rnacentral:rRNA from 1 species
UACGUAGGGUGCAAGCGUUAAUCGGAAUUACUGGGCGUAAAGCGUGCGCAGGCGGUUUUGUAAGUCUGUCGUGAAAUCCCCGGGCUUAACCUGGGAAUGGCGAUGGAGACUGCAAGGCUAGAGUUUGGCAGAGGGGGGUAGAAUUCCACGUGUAGCAGUGAAAUGCGUAGAGAUGUGGAGGAACACCGAUGGCGAAGGCAGCCCCCUGGGCCAAAACUGACGCUCAUGCACGAAAGCGUGGGGAGCAAACAGG